rnacentral:lncRNA from 1 species
CGGGCUCUAAGCACAUACCCUUUACCAUUUCUAGCAAAGGUCCAAAUAAUCCCACAAACACCAAAGUAUAAAAGGGUAUUGUGAACAAUAAAUUGGGACAUAUCAGAAGCACAUGCGGAACAACGAAAUGUACAUGUGCCUUUCUGAGUCAAUACGAUGCAAACAUAAUCCUUCACAAAUGUAUUUAGAUUUGAAAGGAAAUGAAAGCAAAAGUGUAC